UUUUAGCCCCGAUAGAAGUGAAAAUCCUUUUGCUUUUUCUUUAAAAAGCAAAAGAUUGUAACGAAUAGCGGGAUUAGCU
rnacentral:sRNA from 1 species